UGCAUCUGCAGCCCAUGAGGAUGAGAACCUCCGGGGGCAGGGAGGUUCGACUCGAGCGAAGCGAGAGAACGUUGCGCCAGCAACGGCCCGC
rnacentral:sRNA from 3 species